rnacentral:tRNA from 1 species
AGUUUAUUAGCUUAAAUAAAGUUUUUAUUUUGAAAAUAAAAGAUUAGGGGAUCCUAUUAACUA